AUCUCAUCCAGGAGGAUGUACACUGGCACUCGGCGCGCCGCUGCCUCCAGGACCUCACCCAGUAGGUCCACAUCCGUGAACAUGUCCAUCACCACGGCCACCACCUGCCAGGGGCUUCAUGUCUGCAUAAUUUCACCACUAGAUGACUUCCCACUCCCUCCCCUCUGAACCCCAGAUAGAGGGUGAGGAAGAGAGAAGCAGAGAUACCACAGGACUUGCUCCACUUGUGAAGUUUCUUUGUGUGGAGCUCCCAUGUGGUGGCCAGGGAUUCUAACUCAGGCCCUCACACAUGUACCUGCCUGCCCUCAAAUCUCCAGGCGACCCUGUGAUCUGAAGACUGGUGUUCAUCUCUGUUGGAUGAAGACUGAUGGCUCACCAUUCAAGGGGAAGGUGACUGUUAGCCUGUUGACAAUGACCUUAUGGAAUGUCUGACCUCUGUCCAAGCCCAGGUUACCAACCAGCCCAACAUCCAGAGGUGGUGUUAGAUCAUCUGAGAGAUCUGGUCACCAAAUGGUGCAGUGACCUUACCAGACAGACCAAUACACCAUCCUCAACCUUGUAGCAGAUGCCAAGAGACCAGGAAAAUGCUAGAAGGCUACUCUGCAUCCUCCAGAGGCAUUCACACAAAUCAUGAGGAUCCACAGCUGGUCAAGCUCAGGGCCUCACAGCACUAAGUACUCCCUCACUGUUCUCCUAGUUUAUGGAUUUGGGAGGGAGGAGAGAGUAUUUGGUUCCCAAAAGUAAAAUUAAAGGGACUUUGUAAAA